GAUGAACGCUGGCGGCGUGCCUAAUACAUGCAAGUCGAGCGAACAGAUGAGGAGCUUGCUCCUCUGACGUUAGCGGCGGACGGGUGAGUAACACGUGGAUAACCUACCUAUAAGACUGGGAUAACUUCGGGAAACCGGAGCUAAUACCGGAUAAUAUAUUGAACCGCAUGGUUCAAUAGUGAAAGACGGUUUUGCUGUCACUUAUAGAUGGAUCCGCGCCGCAUUAGCUAGUUGGUAAGGUAACGGCUUACCAAGGCAACGAUGCGUAGCCGACCUGAGAGGGUGAUCGGCCACACUGGAACUGAGACACGGUCCAGACUCCUACGGGAGGCAGCAGUAGGGAAUCUUCCGCAAUGGGCGAAAGCCUGACGGAGCAACGCCGCGGGAGUGAUGAAGGUCUUCGGAUCGUAAAACUCUGUUAUUAGGGAAGAACAAAUGUGUAAGUAACUAUGCACGUCUGGACGGUACCUAAUCAGAAAGCCACGGCUAACUACGU
rnacentral:rRNA from 1 species